rnacentral:misc_RNA from 1 species
AAGUUGGAGAGACACGGAUGCUCAUAGAUGAAGUACGGACAUGGUCACACGCUUACACAGGACGCACGACACUCUCUACGUGUAUUCACACACCUACAAAGAGGGAUACGGACGUCCUAUAAAUAGCCGGCGAACCUGUUCGGGUGUUGCGCACUGCAGCCUACUCAGCUGGGCCGGGUGCUCGCUAGAUGUCCGUCGUCCUAUCCUCACCUCGGUUUCUUGCGAAAACCUUGGCUCGUCAAUAGUGCAACGAGUAAACGAGUGUCUCGAAUUAAUUGACGACAGGGCGAUAAGCUGAGCCGGCAUUCUGGUUAUCAUUGUCUGCAAUCGCGAGCAGGGUGAAGAAAUCCGGAAUCAUCGAACGAUAAGAAUGAUUACCCGACUCGUCUCUCUCUAUCUUGUGCUCGCUCUCCUCCAACAUGGGGUACAAAGCAGCGUUCUUGUGGCAGACAACACGAUGUCUCGAAUGGUGGAAGUUAAUGCGGGAGCGCCAUUCUGCGCUCUCUACAACGACCGAGGCGUCAUCCAGAGGAUGGUGCUCGGGGCGGAUCCUCGAAAAGUGCGACAGAUGUCUAGCAAUCUUGUCGCCGAUCUGGAACAAACUUGCAAAGAGUCACGGAAUCGAGGAAAGAAUCAAGCCCCCGGCGGUCUAAUUUACCCGGGAACGAAGUGGUGCGGUCCGGGAAACAUCGCGAACUCCUACGACGAUCUCGGUCAGCAUGCAGCAGAGGAUGCUUGCUGCCGAGAGCACGACAACUGCCCGUUGACGAUCGGACCUCAGCAGUGCAAGGACGGGAUUUGCAACAAUUCACCGAUAACAAGAUCGCAUUGCGACUGCGAUGCCAAGUUCCGUAGGUGCCUGCAAAGCCUGAACACCGAAGUAGCGAACACCCUGGGAGCUUUGUUCUUCAACGUCGUUCAGGUCACCUGCUUCAAGGAAAGACGUCCUUGCUCUCAGUGGCAGCGCUGCUACGAAUUUGGCCGAUCGCCGUUGUUCGGAAAUUAUUCAACGGGGGACUCGAACCGGAAGCGGAGUGAAGUACAAUACUUGAGGCUCAAGCUGGCUCUGGCUAAGAUUGGCUUGUUCAAAAUCCGGCUGUUGCUGGAAGCGUUUUCCAAGUUUUCCUCGUUUCUAAAGUUUUAGCCAAACGCGCGCCUCCGUUUCGCGCGGUUCUCUCCGUAAAAAUAAUUUCUUGCCACCUGUCUAUAUUCAACGACCAACGCUAUAUCUGAUUCGAAGAUCCGGUACCUUCAAUACAGCAUCCAAAUUCAAAGCGGAACUCGAGGCGGAUCACUUCGAAAAUGAAUGGCUACCCAGAGGCGGAAUCGAACCGUCUUUGUUCGCAGUACAAGUUCCGGCCAAGUGACAAAUACGUGCCUUUAAUGCCAGUAAAUAUUAAUAAAUGAAUUCGUAAGCAGCAAGGUGUUAACCCGCAAAACGAACCCUGAAACGAUAGAUUUAUUUAUCAUAGAUCUGCCGUGAUCCACUGCAGGGUGAAUUAUUAAGAACAGCACACAUCGAUCAGAGUGCAAUAUUUUUUGCGGGUGAAAUGUUAUUCCACGAUUAUAAACCUACCCGCGAGUUGUUAUUCGUUAAAAGUCCAUAUUCGAUGUAAUUAUUAUCACCGUCGCUUCUUCCUGGAAUUAUUUUUCAUUUGUUAUCUCAGCGACGUGACAUAAAAAGUGGAGGUUAUAACGGUGGAGUA